GAAGAGUUUGAUCAUGGCUCAGAUUGAACGCUGGCGGCAGGCCUAACACAUGCAAGUCGAGCGAGAAAGGUCUUCGGACUGAGUACAGCGGCGGACGGGUGAGUAACGCGUAGGAAUCUACCCAGUAGAGGGGGAUAGCCCGGGGAAACUCGGAUUAAUACCGCAUACGCCCCACGGGGGAAAGGCCGGGAUCUUCGGACCGGUCGCUAUUGGAUGAGCCUGCGUUGGAUUAGCUAGUUGGUAGGGUAAAGGCCUACCAAGGCGACGAUCCAUAGCUGGUCUGAGAGGAUGAUCAGCCACACUGGAACUGAGACACGGUCCAGACUCCUACGGGAGGCAGCAGUAGGGAAUAUUGCACAAUGGGCGAAAGCCUGAUGCAGCCAUGCCGCGUGUGUGAAGAAGGCCUUCGGGUUGUA
rnacentral:rRNA from 11 species